rnacentral:rRNA from 1 species
CCUACGGGUGGCAGCAGUGGGGAAUAUUGGGCAAUGGGCGCAAGCCUGACCCAGCAACGCCGCGUGAAGGAAGAAGGCCCUCGGGUUGUAAACUUCUUUUAUCAAGGACGAAACAAAUGACGGUACUAGAUGAAUAAGCCACGGCUAACUACGUGCCAGCAGCCGCGGUAAUACGCAGGUGGCAAGCGUUAUACGGAUUUACUGGGUGUAAUGGGCGUGUAGGCGGGACUGCAAGUCAGAUGUGAAAACCAUGGGCUCAACCCAUGGCCUGCAUUUGAAACUGUAGUUCUUGAGUGUUGGUGAGGCAGGCGGAAUUCCGGGUGUAGCGGUGAAAUGCGUAGAUAUACGGAGGAACACCAGUGGCGAAGGCGGCCUGCUGGACAAUAACUGACGCUGAGGCGCGAAAGCGUGGGGAGCAAACGGGAUUAGAUACCCGGGUAGUC